AACGAACGCUGGCGGCGCGCCUAAUACAUGCAAGUUGAGCGAGAAGGUGUAGCAAUACACUUGUAAAGCGGCGAACGGGUGAGGAAUGCAUGGGUAACCUACCCUCGAGUGGGGAAUAACUAGCCGAAAGGUUAGCUAAUACCGCAUACGUUUCCGGAACUUCGGUUUCGGAAAGAAAGCAAUACCGUGGGUAUUGCGCUCCUGGAUGGGCUCAUGUCCUAUCAGCUUGUUGGUGAGGUAACGGCUCACCAAGGCUUCGACGGGUAGCUGGUCUGAGAGGACGAUCAGCCACACUGGCACUGCGACACGGGCCAGACUCCUACGGGAGGCAGCAGUAAGGAAUAUUGCGCAAUGGACGAAAGUCUGACGCAGCGACG
rnacentral:rRNA from 1 species